rnacentral:lncRNA from 1 species
AGAUAAUUAGGUUUAUAUGAGGUCAGAGUGAGAUUAUAAAAAUACGACACAGAGCCUGCUCUUUCCCUGCCAUGUGAAGACCCAGAAAGAAGGUAGCUGUCUGCACACACUGAAGCAAGCUCUUCCGUGAACCUGCCAAGUCCUCAAACCUCUUAAACUGGGAAACCAGCUCCUGUUGUUUCAUUGUCCCAGUCGAUGGUGGUACCCUGUUGUGAUAAGUUGGAUUUGGCAAAGAUACACUCCAUGUGACGAUGUCACAGACUCCUGGUCUAUGACAGAUCCCAUGGAAGCAGCAAAUACUAUUCUCAUUCUGCUGAUGGAAAACCCACUUCCAAGAAAGAAUAAUGGAGAACUCAGAGUGGCUUGUGAAAUAAAGCACAUGCAUGUUUCUAUCUUGGUUGC